rnacentral:rRNA from 1 species
CAGUCGCCGCGGUAAUACGAAGGGUGCAAGUGUUAAUCGGAAUUACUGGGCGUAAAGCGUGCGUAGGCGGUGAGUUAAGUCUGCUGUGAAAUCCCCGGGCUCAACCUGGGAAUGGCAGUGGAUACUGGCUCGCUAGAGUGUGUCAGAGGAUGGUGGAAUUCCCGGUGUAGCGGUGAAAUGCGUAGAGAUCGGGAGGAACAUCAGUGGCGAAGGCGGCCAUCUGGGACAACACUGACGCUGAGGCACGAAAGCGUGGGGAGCAAACAGGAUUAGAUACCCGCGUAGUCCCUGUCUCUUAUAC